UGUUCGGCUGUUUAGUGUGUACCACGCGCCGUCACAGUUUCUGUCACACACUUAGACAACGUGAAUACAGAAACCGGUUGUCUUAAAGGCACGAAGAAACACCUGAACGAGCGGAGACGAGCUGCUGGCCGGUAUCUGACUCGGGUCUCACUCUGAGCACAUCAUUGGUUCCGUUGACAUCCGUUACCAUACCGCACUGAUGACAUCUUAUUUAAGCGCGCAGCAGACGACAAGACAAGAAACCCGUGUUAUCAGGUGUUAAUGUGUUUUGUGCCUUAUCUCACUCAACCAAACACACUACAUAAAAAGUAUGCAGCUCAGAAAGAGCAAGAAAGAAGGGGUAGACUGCAGUGUUCACUCUUCUGUUUCACUGGAGACAGGAACAGGCUUGUCUGUUCCUGCAUGGAUUAAUAAAUCAGCGGCCCCACAGAUAGAAAGCAAGAAAGAAACCGAGAAGACCAGCAUCUCAAGACAAGAGAAGGCCAUAAAAGGCGAACCAGUGAAAUUCUGGUGAUGCCGACCGCCCGCUGUGUAUCCUGACCUUUACGCUGGAACCAGGAUUUAUGGAACGGAUGUGAAAUAUAUCUGUAUAUAUAAGGCAGCGAAUUUGUGAGUGCUGAAAAACAAUGCACAAACCCUUGACUACUGCAACCAAACCCUGCUCUUAUUCUUUUGAUAGCCAUAAAAUUGGUACAGCUUUCCUAGAGCCAUUUUUAUGGUUUCUUGGUGCUCGGUUCCUGCCCUUGUGACCCGCUGGAAUAUUGUGACUUCGCAAUAUAUGUGGUUCCUUGUAAGUUGCUGUGGUAAGAAGCAGCAAAAUAAAUGGAAAUGGAAA